rnacentral:rRNA from 1 species
CCCGCUGAACUUAAGCAUAUCACUAAGCGGAGGAAAAGAAACUAACUAGGAUUGCCUCAGUAACGGCGAGUGAAGCGGCAAGAGCCCAAACUGGAAAUCUUCGCGCUCCGCGCGACGAAUUGUAAUCUAAAGGUGGUUUGCUCACCUGGGAGGGACGCAGAAGUGCCUUAGAACGGGCCGCCAGAGAGGGUGACAGCCCCGUAUGUGGUGUCCUUCCUUACCGAGCUUAUUGCUAACGAGUCGGGUUGCUUUGUAUUGCAGCCCUAAUUGGGAGAUAAACUUCUUCUAAGGCUAAAUACCUAUGGGAAACCGAUAGCGAACAAGUACUGUGAAGGAAAGAUGAAAAGAACUUUGAAAAGAGAGUCAAAAGACUUGAAAUCGUUGAGAAGGAAGCGGUAGAAAUUUAUUCUUCGGUGUCCAACGGUGGCUCGCGCCUAACCAUUGCUGUUGCUCGGUACGUCAAAGGCCGGUGGUGGCACCUGGGGAAGCGAGGGUUUUGUUGGGCAUUGUGAGGCAAAAUGGGGUCGCACAUCCGCAAAGGCUUUUCACACCUGGGCGGCUUCGGCUGUCAGUGUGGGGGUGCUGGUGGGCGUGUGGCCUGAGGGUGCUUCGUGCGAUUUUGCCAAAAUGGUUUUUACCGACCCGUCUUGAAACACAAGGGCGGAUUCGCGGCCGCGUAAAUUCAAUCCGCCCCUAUAGGAAGGUA